GUGGGGAAUUUUGCGCAAUGGACGAAAGUCUGACGCAGCAACGCCGCGUGGGUGAUGAAGGUCUUCGGAUUGUAAAACCCUGUCGUCGAGGACGAAGGUGGGGGCGUUAACAGCGCCUUUGCUUGACGGUACUCGGAGAGGAAGCCCCGGCUAACUCUGUGCCAGCAGCCGCGGUAAUACAGAGGGGGCAAGCGUUAUUCGGAAUUAUUGGGCGUAAAGGGCGCGUAGGCGGUUUCUUAAGUCGGAUGUGCAAUCCCCGGGCUCAACCUGGGAACUGCAUCCGAGACUGGGAGGCUAGAGUACUGGAGAGGUUGGUGGAAUUCCUCGUGUAGCGGUGAAAUGCGUAGAGAUGAGGAGGAACACCAGUGGCGAAGGCGGCCAACUGGACAGUAACUGACGCUGAGGCGCGAAAGUGUGGGUAGCAAACAGGAUUAGAAACCCGUGUAGUCC
rnacentral:rRNA from 1 species